UGGGGAAUAUUGCACAAUGGGGGAAACCCUGAUGCAGCGACGCCGCGUGAGCGAAGAAGGCCUUCGGGUCGUAAAGCUCUUUCAUAUGGGAAGAUAAUGACGGUACCAUAAGAAAAAGCCCCGGCUAACUACGUGCCAGCAGCCGCGGUAAUACGUAGGGGGCUAGCGUUGUCCGGAAUCACUGGGCGUAAAGGGUUCGCAGGCGGCAAUGCAAGUCAGAUGUAAAAGGCAAAGGCUCAACCUUUGUAAGCAUCUGAAACUGUAUAGCUUGAGAAGUGUAGAGGCAAGUGGAAUUUUUAGUGUAGCGAUGAAAUGCGUAGAUAUUAAAAAGAAUACCGGUGGCGAAGGCGACUUGCUGGGCACAAUCUGACGCUGAGGAACGAAAGCGUGGGGAGCAAACAGG
rnacentral:rRNA from 1 species